rnacentral:tRNA from 1 species
AAUGAAGUGCCUGAUAAAAGGAUUAUCUUGAUAGGAUAAAUUAUACAUAUUUAAAUAUGUCUUCAUUA